AGAAACAUCCGGCUCUCUCGGCAGGACGCCCACGCCACACGCUCCACGUCCUGAACACAGACACGGAGCUGCAUACAAGAUUGUGGCCAAAACUGCAGGAAUGUAGGCUGCUACAAGAAGCUUCCAAUGGCAAGUGACGAGUCAUGCAGAGGUCUUUUUGAGAAGAAACUAAACUGUAC